rnacentral:tRNA from 1 species
GGUCAAGUUAGUUUAUUUAAAACAUCAGCUUGUGGAUUUGAAAAUGAAAAGUAUUUAUUUCACUUGACCA